UACGUAGGGGGCAAGCGUUGUCCGGAAUUAUUGGGCGUAAAGGGUGCGUAGGCGGCGCGGUAAGUCGGGUGUGAAAUCUCGGGGCUUAACUCCGAAACUGCAUUCGAUACUGCCGUGCUUGAGGACUGGAGAGGAGACUGGAAUUUACGGUGUAGCGGUGAAAUGCGUAGAUAUCGUAAGGAAGACCAGUGGCGAAGGCGGGUCUCUGGACAGUUCCUGACGCUGAGGCACGAAGGUCAGGGGAGCAAACGGG
rnacentral:rRNA from 1 species